rnacentral:rRNA from 1 species
GACGAACGCUGGCGGCGUGCUUAACACAUGCAAGUCGAACGGAAAGGCCCUGCUUUUGUGGGGUGCUCGUUUGGCGAACGGGUGAGUAACACGUGAGUAACAUCCCCUUGACUUUCGGAUAACUUCAGGAGACUGGGGCUAAUACCGGAUAGGAGCUCCUGCUGCAUGGUGGGGGUUGGAAAGUUUCGGCGGUUGGGGAUGGACUCGCGGCUUAUCAGCUAGUUUGUGGGGUAGUGGCUUACCAAGGCUUUGACGGGUAGCCGGCCUGGGAGGGUGACCGGCCACAUUGGGACUGAGAUACGGCGCAGACUCCUACGGGAGGCAGCGGUGGGGAAUAUUGCACAAUGGGCGGAAGCCAGAUGUAGCGACGCCGCGUGCGGGAUGACGGGCUUCGGGUUGUAAACAGAUUUCGCAUGUGAUGAGGAGUGAGUGACGGUAAUGGAUAAAGAAGCACCGGCUAACUACGUG